AAAAAAAAAAGGAAAAAAAAAAAAAACUCGGGUUAGGUUCCCAAUCUCUUCCUUUUUUGCUUUCCCCCCGCCCCCUUCUCUCUUUCCCUCUCUCUCUCACUAUGUGUGUUUGUGUGUGUGUGAUAUUUA
rnacentral:ribozyme from 1 species